CAUGAUGCUCACAGUCGCGGGUCACAUUUGAAAUUUAGCGAAGAACCUGGCAGCCAUGUUGGUUAAGAAGUGGACUGUACGUUAUUAUCAAUUGCAGUUUUUUAGAAGCCAAGCUGCAGUCAACACACAGAAGCAAAAGGUCCUCAUGUAAUUCACAAGGCUGAUGGACCUCAGUUCAUUCUAUGAGCAUCUGGACAGCUGUCUAUUCAGUGGUUCAGGUCAAAUGAGGGGGUUAAAGAAAUUACAUCCAUACUGGAACGUCUUCACAAGGAUGCAUCGAAUCAAAGACAGUUGGGCAGCAGCAUUGCAGAGCCUACCAGGGUACGUGAGGAAGAAUCCUGCAUUCCUGAAGAUGUGUGAGCCUACAGAUCCUGAAGACAACAUCAAGGGAAUGAUCACUGGAAUAUUUUAUUGGUUGAAGAUGAGAGGGAACCUCUUCCAGCUUCCUACAACGAUGUCGACAUUGUAAUCGAGGAAAAACUCGUCAUCCGUCACCUGCGUGAUGCCCCCAAUGCUUUUGUGAACCUGAUGGGACUGCUGAACAUUCUGAACCUUGAAUGUCCAAAAGACUUGAAGUACACUUUUGAGGUAAUCCAGCACCUUUUUAUGGGAGUGUACUGCAGGAGUCCACUCUGAAGAAUAAAUUGCUCAGGGAUGGGAAGAUGUUUCUGCACUUGUCGUAAAGUUACUGUACUCGUGAUGUUGUCCUUUGGUGCCAACAUCACUGAAGAGCUUUAUAAAUCUACUGCUACUACAUACUGCAGUUUAUUUUAUAUUCUGUGUGCU